UACGAAGGGGGCUAGCGUUGCUCGGAAUCACUGGGCGUAAAGCGCACGUAGGCGGCUUUCUAAGUCAGGGGUGAAAUCCUGGAGCUCAACUCCAGAACUGCCUUUGAUACUGGAGUGCUGAGUCCGGAAGAGGUGAGUGGAACUCCGAGUGUAGAGGUGAAAUUCGUAGAUAUUCGGAAGAACACCAGUGGCGGAAGGCGGACUCGACUGGUCCGGUAGUGACGCUGAGGUGGCGAAAGCGUGGGGAGCAAC
rnacentral:rRNA from 1 species